UAACCUGCCUUGCACUGGGGGAUAACACUUAGAAAUAGGUGCUAAUACCGCAUAAGCGCACAGAACCGCAUGGUUCGGUGUGAAAAACUCCGGUGGUGUAAGAUGGACCCCCGUCUGAUUAGCUGGUUGGUGAGGUAACGGCUCACCAAGGCGACGAUCAGUAGCCGGCCUGAGAGGGUGAACGGCCACAUUGGGACUGAGACACGGCCCAAACUCCUACGGGAGGCAGCAGUGGGGAAUAUUGCACAAUGGGGGAAACCCUGAUGCAGCAACGCCGCGUGAGUGAAGAAGUCAUUCGUGAUGUAAAGCUCUAUCAUCAGGGAAGAAAAUGACGGUACCUGACUAAGAAGCCCCGGCUAACUACGUGCCAGCAGCCGCGGUAAUACUUAGGGGGCAAGCGUUAUCCGGAUUUACUGGGUGUAAAGGGAGGGUAGACGGCGAAGCAAGUUUGAAGUGAAAUGCCACUGCUCAACACUGGAACUGCUUUGGAAACUGUGUGGUUAGAGUGCUGGAGAGGUAAGUGGAAUUCCUAGUGUAGCGGUGAAAUGGGUAGAUAUUAGGAGGAACACCAGUGGGGAAGGCGGCUUAUUGGACUGUAAAUGACGUUGAGGCUAGAAGGCGUGGGGAGCAAACCGGAUUAGAUACCCUGGUAGUUCACGCGGUAAA
rnacentral:rRNA from 1 species